ACUGCGCAAAGCUAACGAUAAGCUAGCCGGCGUCGCAGCCCCUCGACGGGCCAUGGUCUCCUCGGUUAGGGAGAACGCUGGUAUAACGGGGCGGCAAGUCGGGUACGAGCCGCCCUGAGGAACACCGCCUCUGACACCCAGGAGUGCCAGCCAAAUCCAGCAGGGUUGAGGGGUUCAGCGCCUUCAUGUCACUCAAAACCAUCAGAUCGCCGCAGAGAUCUCUGGGAGUUGCUAUGCAAAUUAGAUUUUGACGGCGCCAGGCCGGAGCCUGCCUGAGGCGGAUUCAGCAGCUGAAGCAGCUUCAGAGGAGGGGGAAGGCGGGAAACGAGUGAGGGAGGCACCAGAGAAUGGGGGUGGGGCGGAGAAAAUGGCGGCGGCCGGGAACUGGGAGCAGCCGCUUCCUGGCUUGUCAGCCCGCGGGACAGCGGAGCUGGGGCAAGGGCGGCGCGCCUGUGCGAGUCUGAGGGAACGGCCUCUCUUCCGUCCGACUGGGAGACAAGCCGCUGAGGGGCGCCCCCCGUCCGCUCCCCGGGGCGCGGGACAAGCCGCUGAGGGGCGCCCCCCGUCCGCUCCCCGGGGCGCGGGACAAGCCGCUGAGGGGCGCCCCCCGAUCCGCUCCCCGGGGCGCGGGACAAGCCGCUGAGGGGCGCCCCCCGAUCCGUUACCCGGGGUCUCUCAACCCUUCUGCGCGGGGAGCGUCCCAAGUGGUAGCUCUGCUCCACUGCGGCGCGGCGGAAGACCCGAGGGCUCGGAGUCGUAUCCCCCGCUCCGCGGCGAGUACCUCGGGGUGACGUUCACACCCGGAGCUCGCAGCCUCCGCCACAGUGCCCUGGGGGUCCUGCACUGAGAAACUGUCCCUUAACCCCACUCACGGCAGGGCUCCUUAGGAGCCCGGUGUACCUGCGAGAGGGGCCAAAAACUGAAUUCUCAAUUCCUGGUUGAACAAACAGCCCAGUCGCCUCUAAGGUGCCACAAGUUUUCCUUUUCUUUUUACGGCUCUUCAGCAGCCCGCCCCGGUAACCGGCAGUGCUUAUAUAUAAUAACCGGCUAAUUAUUACCAAUUACAGAAAAAGACACUCCAAGCUUGUCAGUUAAAACAAGACGUCACUGACCACUAGCUGCAUUCAAAACCUAUUAAUAAGGCCAACAAUAAACAAAAACGAAGUCUGACUUUACAACCACAAUAUCAGUCUCACAUGAGACUGUCAAAAAUUGCCAAUGCCGACUAUAUUUCAAGUCGUCAUGGCGGGGUAUUGGGAAAAGUUUUCAACUAGCAAUAAUCACGCCUCGGAUUAACCUCAUUGGCUAUGAUACUGCCACUGCGCAAAGCUAAAGAAAACUCCCCAGUCUUACAAACCACUAAAAUCUGAUCACUCUUCAGGUUAAAGGGAGUUUUCAUUAGACCUCAAAAUGCCCUGAAAACUUUCCUCCUUCAGGUCAAUGUAAACCUACCUCUGUUGUAAUUAAGCAAUAAGAUAUUUACACAGA